CCGCGCUGCGGGACCCUACUCGGCGCGGCGCCCCCUCGCGGAUCCCAACUAUCUCCUGCAACUGCUGCUUUCACCCCACUCUCCUGGCGACCCCCAACUGGGAUACUCUGGGCUUUUGCACCACUCUAAUUUCCUUUCCCUUCCACGAACCCCUUCUUUUGCUCUCCGCUCCUAGUUCCGCGGAGAUGGCCAUGCGAAAAGCUCCUGCAUUGGGGGUUCACCAAAUCGGCCAGGGGAAGUGGAGGGCGAAGGAGAAGGCGGAGAGGGGGGACCCAGCUUGGGGCGAGGGUGCUGAGGUCCCGGAGCUGCGAGCAAGAGGAGACCUCUAGUUGGAGGGAGGCAGACGUGGAGGCAGAGUCCCGUGCCUUGGAGCAGAAGUGGGGACCUGAACCCUCGCAGAACCACAGAAGAGCUUAGCACAACUGGCCAAGGACAAACCCAGGGCGCCACGCCAGGGGCUGGACCGGUCGCUGCGCUCCCACCGGAAGGUCCCCUGCUUCCUAAUAUAUUUGCACCUGUGAAGAGUGAACUCUGUACCCAGAAGAUGUAAUUUUAGAAGAGUAGGAGUGGCUUGGAACAACCACCUCAAAACACACAGAAAAAGAAGAGCAAUCAGAUUAAUUGCUUCGGAGGGUUCGACUGACGUCAUUAACAUUUAUUCUACAGACAUUUUUGCCUCCCUUAUACCUGCCUUUCAAAAGCAGCCUAACAGUCUUAUACAGAUAUUUAUCUUAUUCUCAUACAGACACGUGGGUCUCAGAAAACACACAUAGUUCCACAGACAUCCCCUCAGCAACUCUGAGAAGACUAAAUGACCUCUCUGACUCUCUCCCAAUAAAGGACAGAAUUGGAUGAAAAAUGGAUUUAUUGAAA